AAAAGAACACACAGUUAUGCUGUGCCCAUUUUUCUUGUAAAACUGAAUGUUAUUGUUUCCUCAGUAGAGAACAGAGUGGGAAGUAUUGCCAAGACAUACUCUGUGCGCUAUCUUCUCUUGCUGUGAAUUCCACUGUCCUCUAACAAAUGAAGAGAGGAAAACAAGUGGUGCAAAAAGGUCACUCUGUCUGCUCAGGGGAGCAGAAGUGGCCUGAAGUGGCAGGAGGGAGUAAAAGCAUGCAGGGUGGGAAAAAUUCCCUUCUAAACGAGAGGGAACAACUUGAGAUAUUUUGUAUUGCCAGUAGAAAGGAGCAGCUAAGGAAAGCUCUCCAUAGAUGUCCAAGACACAUAAAAGGCUUCUCCAUUAUGGAAUUACAGUUCACAGAUGGGAUCCAUUUCCAGCUCCCAUGCUGAUUUUACUGCAAGCUAGGAGACUGUUGAAGCAACUUCUGCUCUUAAUAAUAAUAACAAUAAUAAUAAUAAUAAUAAAACACACAUUUUAAAACA
rnacentral:lncRNA from 1 species